GACGUAGGGCGCGAGCGUUGUCCGGAUUUAUUGGGCGUAAAGAGCUCGUAGGCGGCUUGUCGCGUCGUCCGUGAAAACCUGGGGCUCAACCCCAGGCUUGCGGUCGAUACGGGCAGGCUCGAGUUCGGUAGGGGAGACUGGAAUUCCUGGUGUAGCGGUGAAAUGCGCAGAUAUCAGGAGGAACACCAGUAGCGAAGGCGGCACUCUGGGCCGGUACUGACGCUGAGGAGCGAAAGCGUGGGGAGCGAACAGG
rnacentral:rRNA from 1 species